GGAGGGGGAUAACUACUGGAAACGGUGGCUAAUACCGCAUAACGUCGCAAGACCAAAGAGGGGGACCUUCGGGCCUCUUGCCAUCAGAUGUGCCCAGAUGGGAUUAGCUUGUUGGUGAGGUAACGGCUCACCAAGGCGACGAUCCCUAGCUGGUCUGAGAGGAUGACCAGCCACACUGGAACUGAGACACGGUCCAGACUCCUACGGGAGGCAGCAGUGGGGAAUAUUGCACAAUGGGCGCAAGCCUGAUGCAGCCAUGCCGCGUGUAUGAAGAAGGCCUUCGGGUUGUAAAGUACUUUCAGCGGGGAGG
rnacentral:rRNA from 1 species